UACAGAGGGGGCGAGCGUUGUUCGGAAUUACUGGGCGUAAAGGGCGCGUAGGCGGCCCGCUAAGUCGAACGUGAAAUCCCCAGGCUCAACCUGGGAACUGCGUCCGAUACUGGCAGGCUUGAAUCCGGGAGAGGGAUGUGGAAUUCCCGGUGUAGCGGUGAAAUGCGCAGAUAUCGGGAGGAACACCAGUAGCGAAGGCGACACUCUGGGCCGGUACUGACGCUGAGGAGCGAAAGCGUGGGGAGCAAACAGG
rnacentral:rRNA from 1 species